rnacentral:rRNA from 1 species
GACGAACGCUGGCGGCGUGCUUAACACAUGCAAGUCGAACGGACAGGCCCUGCUCUUGUGGGGUGCUCGAGUGGCGAACGGGUGAGUAACACGUGAGUAACCUGCCCCUGACUUUGGGAUAACUCCAGGAAACUGGGGCUAAUACCGGAUAGGAGCUCCUGCUGCAUGUGGGGGGUUGGAAAGUUUCGGCUGUUGUGGAUGGUCUCGCUGCUUAUCAGCUUGUUUGUGUGGUAGUGGCUGACCAAGGCUUUGACGGGUAGCCGGCCUGAGAGGGUGACCGGCGACAUUGGGACUGAGAUACGGCGCAGAAUCCUACGGGAGGCAGCAGUGGGGAAUAUUGCACAAUGGGCGGAAGCGUGAUGCAGAAACGCCGCGUGCGGGAUGACGGCCUUCGGGUUGUAAACCGCUUUCGACUGUAACGAAGAGUGAGUGACGGUAAUGGGUAAGGAAGCACCGGCUAACUACGUG